rnacentral:misc_RNA from 1 species
GUAGGUGAACCUGCGGAAGGAUCAUUAACACGUGAAUUACUCACGUUUUAAAACUAACCGUGAACUGUUGUAUCCCCUGGUGUAGAACAUAGGUGACAAGUUAGGAAAUAUGGUGCGAGAUGUAAACAGUCUCUCCCUUUCUUGUCUGUUGAGUCGAGUAAAAUCGAGCUCAUGCCCAUGCCUACAUUCAGAAGACUAAUUGCCGGUGUACAGCCUGCGCCAAUGGCUUGCAUUAGGUGGUGCUAUUUUAACCCCAAAUUACUAUUUAUUUCUGAUGUGUAUGCUUAUAUGGAUUCCCUUUCACGAGGUUGAGUCUUAUAAGUGUCGUAUAUAUUUAAUACGAAACAACUCUUAGCAACGGAUAUCUUGGUUCUC